GCUUGCAACUAACACGAGUGGCGCACGGGUGAGUAACGCGUACGCGACCUGCCCUCAAGAGGGAAAUAGCCCUGGGAAACCGGGAUUAAUGUCCCAUGUGAUUGUAUUUCUAAGGGAUAUAAUUAAAGGAGCGAUCCGCUUGAGGAUGGGCGUGCGUGCUAUUAGCUAGUUGGUGAGGUAAUGGCUCACCAAGGCGACGAUAGCUAGGGGGCGUGAGAGCGUGACCCCCCACACGGGUACUGAGACACGGACCCGACUCCUACGGGAGGCAGCAGUAAGGAAUAUUGGACAAUGGGGGCAACCCUGAUCCAGCCAUCCCGCGUGCAGGAAGACGGCCCUAUGGGUUGUAAACUGCUUUUAUUAGGGAAGAAUAGCAUCAAUGAAUUGGUGUAUGACGGUACCUAAAGAAUAAGCACCGGCUAACUCCGUGCCAGCAGCCGCGGUAAUACGGAGGAUGCAAGCGUUAUCCGGAUUCAUUGGGUUUAAAGGGUGCGCAGGCGGAAUAUUAAGUCAGUGGUGAAAUCCUGCAGCUUAACUGUAGAACUGCCAUUGAUACUGAUAUUCUUGAAUAUAGUUGAGGUGGGCGGAAUGUGUAAUGUAGCGGUGAAAUGCUUAGAUAUUACACAGAACACCAAUUGCGAAGGCAGCUCACUAAACUAAUAUUGACGCUGAGGCACGAAAGCGUGGGUAGCAAACAGGAUUAGAUACCCUGGUAGUCCACGCUGUAAACUAUGAUCACUCGCUGUUGGCAAUACAUCGUCAGCGGCUGAGCGAAAGCAUUAAGUGAUCCACCUGGGGAGUACGGUCGCAAGAUUGAAACUCAAAGGAAUUGACGGGGGCCCGCACAAGCGGAGGAACAUGUGGUUUAAUUCGAUGAUACGCGAGGAACCUUACCUGGGCUUAAAUGCAGAACGACGUCCGCCGAAAGGUGGAUUCCUUCGGGCGAUCUGCAAGGUGCUGCAUGGUUGUCGUCAGCUCGUGCCGUGAGGUGUCGGGUUAAGUCCCAUAACGAGCGCAACCCUUAUCGUUAGUUGCCAGCGGGUAAUGCCGGGGACUCUAACGAAACUGCCGGUGUAAACCGUGAGGAAGGUGGGGAUGACGUCAAAUCAGCACGGCCCUUAUGUCCAGGGCUACACACGUGUUACAAUGGUCGGUACAGAGGGCAGCUACCACGCGAGUGGAUGCUAAUCUCGAAAACCGGUCUCAGUUCGGAUUGAAGUCUGCAACUCGACUUCAUGAAGCUGGAUUCGCUAGUAAUCGCGCAUCAGCCAUGGCGCGGUGAAUACGUUCCCGGGCCUUGUACACACCGCCCGUCAAGCCAUGGAAGCUUGGGGUACCUGAAGUCCGUAACCGCAAGGAGCGGCCUAGGGUAAGACAAGUG
rnacentral:rRNA from 1 species